UUGAACUUGAUUUACAUUCAGACAUGGGGCUCAUGGGCUUCAUAAGGGUGACGUCAAGGCGUCAAACCACCGCUCGCCUCCACGGGUUUGAGGGUCGGAGGCCCAUCGGGCCUUUCAUUAAUGAUCCCUCCGCAGGUUCACCUACGGAGA
rnacentral:misc_RNA from 1 species